GAUGAACGCUGGCGGCGUGCCUAACACAUGCAAGUCGAACGAGAUGCGUAUUGGAAAGCUUCGGCCGGAAGAUGCGUUAUCUAGUGGCGGACGGGUGAGUAACACGUGGGUAACCUGCCUUAUGGAGGUGGAUAACAGAGAGAAAUCACUGCUAAUACCGCAUAAGCACACAUUGCCGCAUGGCAGAGUGUGAAAAGAUUUAUCGCCAUAAGAUGGACCCGCGUCUGAUUAGCCAGUUGGCAGGGUAAAAGCCUACCAAAGCAACGAUCAGUAGCCGAGCAGAGAGGAUGACCGGCCACAUUGGGACUGAGACACGGCCCAAACUCCUACGGGAGGCAGCAGUGGGGAAUAUUGCACAAUGGGGGAAACCCUGAUGCAGCGACGCCGCGUGAGUGAAGAAGUAUUUCGGUAUGUAAAGCUCUAUCAGCAGGGAAGAUAAUGACAGUACCUGACGAAGAAGCCCCGGCUAACUACGUG
rnacentral:rRNA from 1 species